AGCAGCCGCGGUAAUUCCAGCUCCAAUAGCGUAUAUUAAAGUUGUUGCAGUUAAAAAGCUCGUAGUUGAAUUUCAGGAUCAAGUCGUCGGUCGUGCUCAGGUACGUACUGGCGUCAUUGAUUUCUCCCUUCUGACGAACCAUGAUGUCAUUAAUUUGGUGUCAUGGGAAAUCAGGACUGUUACUUUGAAAAAAUUAGAGUGUUUAAAGCAGGCUCACGCUUGAAUACAUUAGCAUGGAAUAAUGAAUAGGACGUUCGAUCCUAUUUUGUUGGUUUUUAGGAUCAACGUAAUGAUUAAUAGGGAUAGUUGGGGGCAUUAGUAUUCAAUUGUCAGAGGUGAAAUUCUUGGAUUUAUUGAAGACUAACUACUGCGAAAGCAUUUGCCAAGGUAUGUUUUCAUUAAUCAAGAACGAAAGUUAGUGGAUCGAAGACGAUCAGAUACCGUGUAGUCUUAAACCAUAAACGUAUGCCGACUAGGGAUCGGUAUGAUUGUUAAUUUUUAAUGUACUCGUA
rnacentral:misc_RNA from 1 species